UUGCAGUUAAAACGCUCGUAGUCGGGUUUCGGGGCGGGUUGGCCGGUCUGCCGAUGGGUAUGCACUGGUUGACGCGUCCUUUUUUUCCGGAGACCAUGCCUCCUCUUAACUGAGUGGGUAUGGGAAACGGAACUUUUACUUUGAAAAAAUCAGAGUGUUUCAAGCAGGCAGCUCGCUCUUGCAUGGAUUAGCAUGGGAUAAUAAAAUAGGACUUUGGUGCUAUUUUGUUGGCUUCGAACACCGAAGUAAUGAUUAACAGGGACAGUCAGGGGCACUCGUAUUCCGCCGAGAGAGGUGAAAUUCUUAGACCAGCGGAAGACGAACAACUGCGAAAGCAUUUGCCAGGGAUGUUUUCACUGAUCAAGAACGAAAGUUAGGGGAUCGAAGAUGAUCAGAUACCGUCGUAGUCUUAACCAUAAACCAUGCCGACUAGGGAUUGGAGGAUGUUCUCUUUUUGACUCCCUCAGCACCUUUCGGGAAACUAAAGUC
rnacentral:rRNA from 1 species